rnacentral:lncRNA from 1 species
AAAUUUAUUCAAACUCUUGACCAUGAUUCAUUCAGAAAAAUUAUAAAUUUAUCAUGAAUUUUCAUAUCCAAGAGCUAAAAAUAUUUUCUAAUGUAUGCAAUAUACACCUAGACUUAUUUAAAUCAAUAUAUAUACACACACAUUAUAAUUCGUUUACAAUAGUCACUUACAUACUUAAUUAAGUUCAAUUACUUGUCACUUACAAUUAAAAUAAAAUUACAUAAUUAAGACUAAAACUUAUUAAGAAAGGAUAUAAAAUUGCACCACUGUUUUCCAUAAAGAAAAAAAGUAG